AACGGCGAGUGAAGCGGCAACAGCUCAAAUUUGAAAGCUGGCUCCUUUGGAGUCCGCGUUGUAAUUUGUAGAGGAUGAUUCGGCAAGGGCUCCCGCCUAAGUCUCCUGGAACGGAGCGUCAUAGAGGGUGAGAAUCCCGUAUGCGGUGGGCUGCCUAAGCCAUGUGAAUCUCCUUCGACGAGUCGAGUUGUUUGGGAAUGCAGCUCUAAAUGGGAGGUAAAUUUCUUCUAAAGCUAAAUACCGGCCAGAGACCGAUAGCGCACAAGUAGAGUGAUCGAAAGAUGAAAAGCACUUUGGAAAGAGAGUUAAAAAGUACGUGAAAUUGUUGAAAGGGAAGCGCUUGCAGCCAGACUUGUCCGCAGUUGCUCAGCCGGUCUCCUGACCGGUGUACUCUUCUGCGGCCAGGCCAGCAUCAGUUCGGGCGGUCGGAUAAAGACCUCGGGAAUGUAGCUCCUCUCGGGGAGUGUUAUAGCCCGGGGUGGAAUGCGGCCAGCCUGGACUGAGGAUCUCGCUUCGGCUAGGAUGCUGGCGUAAUGGCUGUAAGCGGCCCGUCUUGAAACACGGACCAAGGAGUCUAACAUCUAUGCGAGUGUUUGGGUGUCAAACCCAUGCGCGUAAUGAAAGUGAACGGAGGUGGGAACCCUCACGGGUGCACCAUCGACCGAUCCUGAUGUCUUCGGAUGGAUUUGAGUAAGAGCAUAGCUGUUGGGACCCGAAAGAUGGUGAACUAUGCCUGAAUAGGGUGAAGCCAGAGGAAACUCUGGUGGAGGCUCGCAGCGGUUCUGACGUGCAAAUCGAUCGU
rnacentral:rRNA from 1 species